ACACCUGAGAAAAUAAAUGUUAAUAUUUGGUACAGUAGCCUUUGUUUGCAAUUACAGAGGUCAAACGUUUCCUGUAGUUUUUCCACCAGGUUUGCACACACUGCAGGAGGGAUUUUGGCCCACUCCUCCACACAGAUCUGGCCUGUCGCUGAGAAACAUGGAGUUUGAGCUCCCUCCAAAGAUUCUCUAUUGGGUUUAGGUCUGGAGACUGGCUAGGCCACGCCAGAACCUUGAUAUGCUUCUUACAGAGCCACUCCUUAUGUAAAUGACCAUUGAAUCCCCAAUCACUGAAGUAGGUCGUCAUCUUUACCUCCAACCAUAGAGGGCAGUGUUGCCAUGGAACUCCUGAGAAAGGCUUUCACAAGAAAGGACUUUAUUAUUGAACUUGAACCAAAUGUUACUUUGUUUGUUUUUGGUUGACUAAUAAUUCUUGCUGCAUACUUAAUGUGGACAUUGUAUUUUUAUUUGUUUUAUUAAGUGUACAUUUUUUACCUCACAUGCUUUUAUUUUGAAGUCUGGAAAAGGAAGUGCAGCAGCACUCUUUGUGUACAUUGGCGCUCUUUUUACGUGAAGCGCCAUUCUGAUUUAACGUUAAGAGAGAAAGGAUAAACCCUUGGGUACUCACUGUACAAAUGUUUGUUUUAAAAGGUUUCUUUCUACAUCUUAGCUACUGGCUGAAGGGCACAAGCUCUUACGGUGUUUUUGGAAAUUAAAUUCUUUAUAAACAUCA